GGAGGAAUGGCUCAGUGGUAGAGUGCCUGACAAGCACACACUAGGCCUUGGGUUCAAAACCCCAGUGCCACCA
rnacentral:tRNA from 1 species